rnacentral:rRNA from 1 species
CAGUCGCCGCGGUAAUACGUAGGUGGCAAGCGUUGUCCGAAAUUAUUGGGCGUAAAGGGCUCGCAGGCGGUUUCUUAAGUCUGAUGUGAAAGCCCCCGGCUCAACCGGGGAGGGUCAUUGGAAACCGGGAAACUUGAGUGCAGAAAAGGAGAGUGGAAUUCCACGUGUAGCGGUGAAAUGCGUAGAGAUGUGGAGGAACACCAGUGGCGAAGGCGACUCUCUGGUCUGUAACUGACGCUGAGGAGCGAAAGCGUGGGGAGCGAACAGGAUUAGAUACCCCCGUAGUCCCUGUCUCUUAUAC